CCUGGAAUGUGUAAAUAAAAGUUAUAUUAUAUUUUCCACAACUUAAUUCUUUGGUUCAAGAACACAUACUGAACUGUAAUAUGCUAAUCGUAUUCAGUUCACACAAGUUCUGACCUAACGAUGAUACAAUAACAAGAGAUAACAUAAUCAUAUAUAAAAACAGAUUCUUACAAUUAUAUUUUAUUGACAACAAACAAUACCACUUUAUCACAUUUAUUACAUCAGUCAAUCUAAAUAAGAGGAACCACGUGAAGAUCGACUUGAUAGGAUAUAUUGCUAGCAACGGGAUCAUUUCUUUCCAUUAUGAUUCCAUUUCUUCCCAAUGGGAAUGGAAACCGGGAGAUAAUACAAGAAAAAUAAAGUGAGUAAAAUAAUAUAAAUAAUAUUUGGUAAAAAGGAAAAUACUGUAGAAAACCUCUCUACGUCUACAUAAACGAAGUUACGAAUUCGCUACUCGAGGGCAUUGCUGAGUGCGCCCGCAUACUUGCAAGGAAACUGGAUUUACAAAUGGGAAUGUGGUUCGUGGUUACAGUUCAUUCCUUUGGCUAAUGUUGGAAGAUUGCUGGACGACACCACGUUUAGACUUUCAAUCUCUCUCAGAUUGGAAGUGAAAAACUUCCUCAUCGCUGUAACCUUUUUUAAAGGGAAAUAUGUUUUUACACAUCCCAUUUAUUAUGUGAGAUUUCUCGCUUAUCAGGACACUUAUAACCCUGCUGUUACCGCCAUUUACAAUAUGGGAAGGUUGAGGUGACGGCUGCACUUAUCCUUGGACCCUAUUUGUGUCGCAGGAAACUGUUGUGAUGCGAGAUACACAAGCAGGGGCAAAUAGUCAGUUUAGUGAAACGACGUAUAACUGAAGAUAUUGUAAUAAUUAGUCUUACCACUGAAUUUAUUUAAAUAUAAAAUGUAAAAGAUUUUUUUUUGUGAUUUCAUGAUGUUCUUAGGCAUUCUAUGAAAUCCUCAAUUAUGUUUAUCAGUACAGCAAUUAUGAGAUCAGACAUCAUCAAUUAUGUUUAGAAUCAUUUAUAUUCAUGCCAAGUCCCUUGCGGGGUAGGUAGAGAGAACCGAUUGCCAAAGACCUUUCUCCUUACAUACAUCUUUUGCUUCUUGUAUUUUCAUAACUCGUCUAAUGCAUGUAUACCAGUUCCGGAGACUCUUGGCUUCUUUAUUUAAAAGAACACGGUUUAUUUGAUCAUAAUAGGUUACUGUAGGUCUCCCCAGUUAUCUCCACAUCCCCAUUUGCAUUGUAUAUUUGUUUUGUCAACCUUUUAUCUGGCAUUCUUUCCACAUGUCCGAAUUACCGUAGCAUGCUCUAUCUCAUUUUAACAUCGACACUUUCUUUCUGACCAGCUCGCUGACACACUAUUAUUAUGAAUAGGUACAUUACCCUGCAAAUUCUGCGUAAUGCUCGCAUUUCAACCGCAUUUACUCUGCUUGCUUUUUUUUACAUACCCAACUCUCGCUGUCAUAAUAAAUUGUUGUAUAUUAAGAAUUAGAUGUAUGUUUAAUUUUAACUUUUUUUUUUAUUAAAAUUUUGUAUAAUUAGUAGGAUUAAUCAAUGAGAUUUACAUUAAAAUAUUGCUUGUCUUUCAUUUUGCUAAAAUUAAUGCAAUGUUAAUAAUAUUCAGUAUAGGUAUCUAGUCUCAAAAAAAUAUGAACUGGUUAAGUGCCUAUUAUUAUAGUAUUACUAAAUUUUACUUUCAGAAUACUUCGCUUACAAUUUCUACGUUAUUAAAGUAAGCGGAUACAAACCAAUUUCGUUAAGUAAGUAGUGAAUAAAAAUCUUGAAUUAAAUAAGAAUACUAUAUUUUUAUACGAAACGAGUUAUUGUUUUAUUAAUUUGGCUUUCAUCCAAUGCCGCACUAUGCAUGCGUAUCUAUAUGU